AGCUUUUCUGACUCUUUAAGAGGUCUUGAGCAUUCUUGCAGAGACACACCAACCAAAAGUAUAGUCAUCCGGGAAGAGAAGAGCCUGAGAGAAAAAUAACACUUGGACUGGCAUCAGGAGGCUAGUGUCUGGAUGUUGUUGAUGUACUGCAAGGAGAAGCAGACUAAACUAGAUAGUGCCAGUGGAGUUCAGAGCAGCCACCAGUCUGGCACCAUUCUUUGACACCAAGUCCCCUGAAAAUCACCAUGCACAUCCAUUGGAGCCUUCUUCAGGAUUCCAGCUUAUUCAGAAGACAGGGUGAAACUCCCAGCCUCCUGAGACUGAGAAACUACUAGAUUCUUGGACUUUCCAUUCACAGAUGGCCAUUAUUGGGCUAGUUGGACUGCAACCUGUCCAUCCCAUGGACACUUCCUGCUGUGCAGCUUUCUCCACACCAUAGGAAUCAUUACUCUGACUUCACUGGCUGGGAUCUGGGGACACAGUGUUCACAGUCUCAUUCUGAAAUCCCUUGUUUGUCCCAAUUGUCUGUUAGGAUGUGGGGAUCUCGCUUGUUCCAUGAGAAAUGGCAGAGGCUUUUCCUAUAAAAGUAGCACACAAGACGACAGCAUAAUCUAUGAAAUCAAUAUUCUGUCCAUGUGAGGUUUGUAACUUUUAGUACCACUUUGAAUUAAUGAUGUUCAAUGAACAGUUUAAAACUUUAUAAUAAAUUGAAUUUUAAGACA
rnacentral:lncRNA from 1 species